UCCUCGAGGCUCCAGGAUGCUGGGGGCCCUGCCUUGUGGGUGAUGUGCUGAAACGCCUUCCUGGUCCACCAGCGAGAUGGCCUGCCCCCGGCGUCCCUGGGGACCAGGGUCCCUCUGACCCAGGAAGCGUGGCUCCGCCCUAUCACUGCCAGGCCAGGAGGCGGAGGGGGAGCACAGGCAGACCGUGAGAACCUCUGGAUUCCUCUCAACAGAGAGUCGUGAGAUCGUCCAGCCUUUGGAACAUUAUUCUCCCUUGUCUGCGCUUGAGAGAUCAGUUUGUGGAAUGGCGUGCUCUUUACCUGCUUGGACUCAAGGUUACCAUGUGGGACGACACAGCUCCAGAUGCCUGUAAGAUUCUUGGGGGCGAUGUGGCAGGAUGAACAAAAAUUGGUCCUCCUUCCGAGAAUUUCUCGCCAGUGUGUUAACACCUGUGUAAAAAGUGUCUUGGGCCAAAAAAACACACAGAAUCAUCCAACAA